rnacentral:rRNA from 1 species
UACGUAGGGUGCGAGCGUUAAUCGGAAUUAUUGGGCGUAAAGGGUGCGCAGGCUGUGCUGUAAGUCAGAUGUGAAAUCCCCGGGCUUAACCUGGGAAUUGCGUUUGAAACUGCAGUGCUAGAGUGUGAUAGAGGAGAGUGGAAUUCCAUGUGUAGCAGUGAAAUGCGUAGAGAUGUGGAAGAACACCAAUGGCGAAGGCAGCUCUCUGGAUUAACACUGACGCUCAUGCACGAAAGCGUGGGGAGCAAACAGG